CACCACACGGAAAAGCAAAAAAACCGUAAGACGACGACGACGACGACGACGAAAGUCUACUCAACUUUUGCUUCCUUCUGAUUCUCUCUUUAUCCGCAAUCCAAUCACGAGUCACCAUCCCUAAGACAAACCCUAAAAAUUUCAUCAAAAAUCCCAAAAUUAGGGUCGAGAUUCUCUAAUCCCGCAAGGGGGAAGGAAACAACAAAGAAGAUGGUUUUUCCCUGGAACAUUGCUAAAUCAGCGGAGGAAGCUUUUUCUAGAUGGGCGGUGAAGAGGGUCGUCAAAUUCUUGUUGAAGAAGAAAUUGGGUAAACUCAUACUUGGUGAUAUCGACCUUGAUCAGCUCGAUAUUCAGCUUCGUGAUGGCUCUAUUCAGCUCUCCGAUCUUGCUAUCAACGUUGACUAUUUUAAUGACAAGUUUGAUGCUCCCCUACUCAUAAAGGAAGGCUCAAUUGGAGCUUUGGUAGUUAAAAUGCCUUGGAAGACUAAUGGUUGUCAAGUUGAGGUUGACGAGCUUGAGCUUGUUCUUGCACCACGUUUGGAGACUAAUGCAUCAUCUUCAAAUGAAGCCAGCACCUCCGCCUCUACCCGAGAAGAUUCACAUAAUAUACGUCUUGAAAGAGGAAAGCAUGAGAAUGACAUGUUGUUGAACGCUGCAAAAUCUGCGUCUAUCGAUGUCCAUGAAGGCGUUAAGACGGUUGCCAAGAUAGUGAAAUGGUUUCUUACAAGUUUUCAUGUCAAAAUUAAGAAUCUGAUUAUAGCAUUUGAUCCCGAUUUUGGCCAAAAACUGAAUGAAGCUGGUCCUCGGCCAACAUUGGUACUUAGAAUGACAGAAAUAGAGUGUGGAAUUUCAGAGGACCGAGUUUCGGCUGCUGAUGUUUCUCCUGAUAGUUUCCUUGGUACUAGUCGACUUGCAAACUGUGUGAAGUUUCAAGGAGCCGUCGUAGAGCUUUUAAAUAUGGAUGAUGAUGAUGGCGACAAAACUUGUGGUAAAAAAACAUCAAAUGAUGUGACUUUGAUCAUGACCGGCGAAGGAGGUGGCUUUUCAGGGAGUUUGAAUUUUAGUAUACCCUGGAAGAAUGGUUCUUUAGACAUUCGCAAGGUGGAUGCUGAUAUUUCUAUUGAUCCUGUUGAAGUACGACUUCAACCGUCUACAAUUAGAUGGUUCUUACAAUUGUGGAAGACUUUCACAAGUUUCGGAUCAGACUGUUGCCCAUCAGUUUCUCAUUCUGAUUCAUUGACGGAUUCACCUACAAUACCUACUAAUGCAAUGGUAACGCCUCCAGCUACACUAUCAGUGUCAGGUGGCCAAGAAUUGGAGCCUGAUACUACACCUAACUUACAGUUUAUACCGGAUUGGUUUCCGUCUUCUUUCAGCAAGAAAGAAGAGGAUGGAGAAGUAGAUAUUGGGGCAAGUGUGGACCAGUUUUUUGAAUGUUUUGAUGCAAUGAGGAGUUACCAAUCAGCUUGUGGAAGCCAAGGAAUGUGGAAUUGGACAUCUUCUGUCUUCACAGCAAUCAAUGCUGCAUCUAGCCUUGCUUCUGGGUCUUUGCUUCUUCCUUCUGAACAACAACAUGUUGAAACAAGUUGUAAAUUAUCCUUUGCUGGAGUUUCGGUGGUAUUAUUUUUCCAAGAUGAAGACAAUUGGAAGGAUGUUUCCACGCGGAUUCACUACUUGGGUGCAGAACUCAGAGAUAUUUCGGUCUCUUUUCAGGUAUGCCCUCAUGAUCUGAGGUUAGAAGGAGAAGUGAACAGCAUGGAGAUCGCCGAUUAUUUUCAAGCUGGAAAUGUUGUUGACACUGCUAAUGCUGAAUCUCAGACUUGUUUGAUUAAGGAUUUACAAGCGAAAGUUCAGACUAGUCUUCCUCCCUUUGCCUCGUCUGAUAUGCAUACUGACUCUGAAAGAUUAAGCGAGAUAGUUUCUGAUGGAUUUCUCUUUCGUAGCAAGGGUUUCGCAGUCAAGACAUUGUUGGUUAUAGCUGCAGGGGGCAGUGGAUUUCAGUUUAUUGUCAAUUUCCAAUCAUCCAAAGCCAGCCAUAGAGGAUCAAACUCAUUCUCGUUGAGUUUACCACCUACCACAUUCUGGCUGAACCUUCAUUCAGUAGAAAUGUUGGUAAAUCUUUUCAACGAUGUAUCCGAAUCUAUCCCCAUAUUCAGUCAUGAAAGGAAUCAGGUGGCAUCCUCUUCUAAAUCAGAAAGUUUGCGAGGUAGUGUGUCAAUCUGGAAUGCUCGAGUGAUUCUGUGGUUUCCUUUUGAGAGCAUUUCAGAAAGGUUAUGUAACUCGCUUGGUGAGCAGUUUAUUGUCGUCGACUUAUCUUCCUCUCCGCAAUCUGACAAGGAUAGGCGUAAGGAAGGAAGUCCGGGAGAAAUGUACUUUACAUCUGCUACUCGCUCUAUAUGCUUCCGUGUCGGUGAUGCUAGCAUCUAUUUGGUUACUUCUGACCAUAAAGAUUCCGAAACAAAUUCAUAUCGUAGGCAGGUUGAAUUCUCUGCAUAUAAUAUCUUACAUACCAACAAUAAAACGAGGCACCAACUUUCAACCAUUGGUAUGUUUUGGCAAGAUAGACCUACUGUUAGCCCUUGUUUAGUGGAGAGAGCUAAGAUGUUGGCUACGCAGGAAGAAUCUAUUCAGACAGAUAAAUCUGGGGGGAGUGGCCUUGAGUUUGCUGCUGUUGCUACGCCCAAAGAUCAAGAAGACAUCUACUCUCGAACCAGGAAAGAAAUAAUUAUGGCUUCUUCAUUCUGCCUUUAUCUUCAUUUGCUUCCACUUGCUAUCCGUUUAGAUAGUUGGCAAUACAGCAAAUUAUGUAAUCUCGUAGAAGAGGCAAAAAUUUGGCUAUCACGUAUGGCAGCCAAUACAGCUGAGCAAACAGGGGAAUCUGUUGUGUGUCAAACGUCUCUCGUUGUUGAAUGUGAUUCUAUUGACAUUUUGGUUAGGCCAGAACCUCAAAUGGGCAUAAAAAUUCAGCUUCAGACUGAGCUUCCUGGAUCAUGGAUUCAGUUCAACCUGAGGGUUCAGAAAUUAAAUCUUAUGUCUGUCUCAAAUCUUGGCAGUAUCUCUGGUGCUGAUUUCUUUUGGUUAGCCCAUGGGGAAGGCACCUUAUGGGGUUCUGUUACAGGUCUAGCUGAUCAGGGACUGCUAUUACUCUCAUGUAACAAUUCUGCAAUCAAACGUGGUAAUGGAGGAGGUUCAAAUGCAUUGUCGUCAAGGUUCGCUGGCUUAGAUUUUCUGCACUUACAGGAACCAGGAAUUUGUUAUGAUUAUUUAGCAGUAUCUGUCAGGGGCUGUACGAUCUCGGCUGUGGGAGGACGCCUGGAUUGGAUAGAAGUGGCUACUUCUUUUUUCACUUUUGAAGAUGAAAAAAAAUCUCAAGAGAUGAACUCCAGCUCAUCUAGCGGCUCCUCUUUUAUUCUGAAUUUGGUUGAUGUUGGUCUAAGCUAUGAGCCCCACCAUGAGAGUACAGAUCAUUUACGUCAAGCAAGUAUUCCAUGGGUUGCCUGUCUGGUAGCUGCAUCUUCUUUUAGCCUUUCAAAGAAAAGUCUGGUUGAUUCCAUAAGAAAUGAUUAUAGAAUCAGGAUUCAAGAUCUUGGGCUUCUUCUGUCCGUGGAUUUUGACCUUAGCAAGCUUAAUGGAAUGUACAGUUCAGAGCAUCUUCAUGAGACUGGCUAUGUUAAAGUUGCUAAUGAGGCGCUUAUUGAAGCAACUCUAAGGACUAACUCUGAAAAUGGCCUUCUUUGGGAGUUAGAGUGUUCCAAAUCUCACUUAUUAAUUGAAACUUGCAGUGACACGACUUCUGGUUUGAUUCGCUUGGCCACCCAGCUCCAACAGUUACUUGCUCCUGAUUUGGAGGAAUCAGCUGUGCACUUGCAGACUCGAUGGGACAGCAUUCAGCAGGCAAAUGCUAGGAAUGAUUUUGAUAUCAGCGACAGACUCAGUAGCUCCGAUUCAAGUGGAGAAAUGAAAUAUUUAAGAUUAGAGUCAGAAAAUGAAACUGGGGUCAUUGGGUUGAUGGACGAAAUAAAUGAAGAUGCAUUCCAAUUUGAUGUCAAUCUGACAGGUCAGUCUGACUCUGUGGAGUGUCAGAAUAACUAUAUGUCACCUCAUGGAGUCUCUCAUGGGCAGGCAUAUAAUUGGGUACCUGCUACUCCUGAGAAACUACCUUCUAAUCACAGUAUCUGUGGGUCAUCAUCUAGAAUAAAUUCAGAAAGCAGUAAAAUAUUCCUAGAUAGAGAGAGCCUGCCUGAAAUAUUUGAAAACUAUUGUUUUUCUGACUUCCGUCCAUCGUCAGAGGUACCUCAAGAUGGGGAUUCAUCAGGGAGAGAAUUGUUUCCUGAGACUGAUCUGAGGAGAGGAAAUUCUGGGUGGUAUGAUGACGCGUCCUUAAGAAUUUUAGAAGACCAUGUGUCAGAAGCAACUGAGGAAGAUCAUGAGGAACAUAUUCUGGAUGGAGAAUUUUCAUCUUUUGGCCAGACGUCUUAUCCUGCUGUAGCACCUAAUGGACGUAUCCUUCUGAAAAACAUUGACCUCAAAUGGAGAAUUUACUCUGGCUCUGAUUGGCAUGAUUCUAGAAAGAAAGGUGAAAAUUUUAAACAUACAAAGGGCCGGGAUACAACUUCGUGCCUUGAGCUGGAGUUAUCUGGGGUGCAGUUCCUGUAUGAAACCUUUCCAAUUGGCGGAAUAUGUACCUCUAAAUUAUCUCUCAUGGUCCAAGAUUUUUAUCUGUAUGAUAGAAGCAACAAUGCACCUUGGACAUUGGUCCUUGGAUAUUAUAACUCAAAAGAUCACCCAAGAGAUUCCUCUUCAUAUGCUUUCAAGUUGGAAUUAAAAGCUGUCAGACCUGACCCUGAGACGCCACUUGAGGAAAACCGGUUACGGGUCGCUUUACUCCCUAUACUGUUGCAUCUUCAUCAAAGUCAACUGGAUUUUCUCAUCAGCUUCUUUGGAGCUAACAGCCUAGAAAAGCCUGAUGUUUCCAUGGGAGACUCAGGUGGUUCAACGUUGUCGGUUUCUGUUAAAGGACAUAAUAUCAUAGAAGAAGCGCUUCUUCCAUAUUUUCAGAAAUUUGACGUAUGGCCUGUUAGUGUUCGAGUUGAUUACAGUCCCCAUCAUGUUGAUAUAGCAGCACUAACAGGAGGGAAAUAUGCAGAGCUUGUGAACCUUGUACCCUGGAAGGGGAUUGAAUUACAGCUCAAACAUGUGCAUGCUGCUGGAAUCUAUGGCUGGGGAAAUGUAUGUGAGACUAUACUGGGAGAAUGGUUGGAAGAUGUAUCUCAGAAUCAGAUUCAUCAACUGUUAAAGGGGAUCCCAACAGUAAGAUCACUUUCUGCUCUUUAUGCUGCUGCUCUAAAGCUGGUCUCGUCACCUGUUGAAAGUUACAGGAAAGAUCGAAGGCUAGUGAAGGGAGUCCAAAGAGGUACUAUAGCGUUUCUCAGAAGCAUCUCACUGGAAGCUGUUGGACUUGGUGUUCACUUGGCAGCCGGGGCUCAUGAUAUUUUAUUGAGAGCAGAAUAUAUAUUUGCAAGUGCACCAUCAUUGCCACAACCCCAAGGCAAAACAAAGACGAAUGUUAGACAUAAUCAGCCUAGAAACGCUAAGCAAGGCAUGCUUAAGGCAUGUGAGAGCAUCGGUGAUGGAAUAGGAAAGACAGCUUCUGCAUUAGUCCGCACACCUUUGAAGAAGUAUCAACGUGGAGACGGAGCUGGAUCAGCAUUUGCAACAGUUGUUCAGGGAGUUCCAACAGCUGCUAUAGCACCUGCUUCAGCUUGUGCUAGAGCUGUACAUAGUGCUCUAGUUGGCAUCAGAAAUAGUCUUGAUCCUGAACAUAAAAAGGAAUCCAUGGAAAAGUACUUAGGCCCUGAUAAACAAAGGAAGCAGGACCAACACCGAUAAACUCAGGUAAAUUCCUGAUUAUCCAUGUUGGUGUGAGGUCCCUUUUACAUAUAGCAUGUGUAUAGGUUUGGAUAGAGUAAAGUGCAGAACCAUUCUUUUACCCAUUGAAAAGCCAAAGAGAUGGGAUAGUUUUGGUAUAGAAUAUAAAUCUUUUAAACAUUAUAGAAUCAUUCAGUUUGUUUGUCUCUGUGCAUAGACAUUUUCGAUAUUGCUUCAUUGUAAAUUUACCCCCAGCAAGUUUGCCAAAUGAGUGAAAGUGUACAGGUUUUUUGUUCAAAAUAACUUUCAGUUUCUAUC